ACCCCGAAAAGCCACACCCAGCGCAAGCUGGGGCCGGAAUGCCGAAUCGGGUCCCUUCUUAUUGCGGGAUGGCCGGGCUGCCGAA
rnacentral:ncRNA from 1 species